CUACAGUGUAGCAGUAUGGCUGUGGGGUAUACUUUGUUCUUUUGUUCUUUAAAGGGCGAUGAUGACUUUCCUCUUCUCAAAUAGAAACAGUGACGGAUACAUCCGGUUUCUCUCUUUCGGGAGGGCUUUGCCUGGAAGUACAACAACUUUCAUGAGCUGAAUGGAUUCUUGAGUCCUCCUCAGUCACAGCAGAACGUACCCACGCAUCGUGCAAGCUGGUCGUUGUCAACACAAACUGAUGUUCUUUCUCUGUACUUUCCUUUCCUUUCCUUUCCUUUCCUUCCUCUCCAUUCGUUAUUUCUUACCGUCUAUUUGGUUAGCUUUUGGUAGCUGUAUCCUCAUCCGUAAGGAGGAAGUCGGGGUUGCUUCAGAAUAAUCUCACUUAGUGUUUCAAUAGCAGACUUGUAACUACCUCUUUCUGCUCCAUCCUUCAAAGUGUUCAUUUCUACUA
rnacentral:sRNA from 1 species